rnacentral:rRNA from 1 species
UACGUAGGGUGCGAGCGUUGUCCGGAAUUAUUGGGCGUAAAGGGCUCGUAGGCGGUCUGUCACGUCGGGAGUGAAAACUCAGGGCUUAACCCUGAGCCUGCUUCCGAUACGGGCAGACUAGAGGUAUGCAGGGGAGAACGGAAUUCCUGGUGUAGCGGUGGAAUGCGCAGAUAUCAGGAGGAACACCGAUGGCGAAGGCAGAUCUCUGGGCCGUAACUGACGCUGAGGAGCGAAAGCAUGGGGAGCGAACAGG